rnacentral:rRNA from 1 species
CCUACGGGUGGCUGCAGUGGGGAAUAUUGGACAAUGGGGGGAACCCUGAUCCAGCCAUGCCGCGUGUGUGAAGAAGGCCCUCGGGUUGUAAAGCACUUUCAGUGAGGAAGAACGCCUGGUGGUUAAUACCCAUCAGGAAAGACAUCACUCACAGAAGAAGCACCGGCUAACUCCGUGCCAGCAGCCGCGGUAAUACGGUGGGUGCGAGCGUUAAUCGGAAUUACUGGGCGUAAAGCGCGCGUAGGUGGCUUGAUAAGCCGGUUGUGAAAGCCCCGGGCUCAACCUGGGAACGGCAUCCGGAACUGUCAAGCUAGAGUGCAGGAGAGGAAGGUAGAAUUCCCGGUGUAGCGGUGAAAUGCGUAGAGAUCGGGAGGAAUACCAGUGGCGAAGGCGGCCUUCUGGACUGACACUGACACUGAGGUGCGAAAGCGUGGGUAGCAAACAGGAUUAGAUACCCCAGUAGUC